rnacentral:rRNA from 1 species
CCUACGGGAGGCAGCAGUGAGGAAUAUUGGUCAAUGGACGAGAGUCUGAACCAGCCAAGUAGCGUGAACGAUGACUGCCCUAUGGGUUGUAAACUUCUUUUAUAUGGGAAUAAAAUGUUCCACGUGUGGGAUUUUGUAUGUACCAUAUGAAUAAGGAUCGGCUAACUCCGUGCCAGCAGCCGCGGUAAUACGGAGGAUCCGAGCGUUAUCCGGAUUUAUUGGGUUUAAAGGGAGCGUAGGUGGAUUGUUAAGUCAGUUGUGAAAGUUUGCGGCUCAACCGUAAAAUUGCAGUUGAAACUGGCAGUCUUGAGGACAGUAGAGGUGGGCGGAAUCCGUGGUGUAGCGGUGAAAUGCUUAGACACCACGAAGAAGUCGGAUGGGGAAGGCAGUUCACUGGACUGCAACUGACACUGAGGCUCGAAAGUGUGGGUAUCAAACAGGAUAAGAUACCCGAUUAGUC